rnacentral:rRNA from 1 species
CCUACGGGUGGCAGCAGUGAGGAAUAUUGGUCAAUGGACGAGAGUCUGAACCAGCCAAGUAGCGUGAAGGAUGACUGCCCUAUGGGUUGUAAACUUCUUUUAUAUGGGAAUAAAAUGUUCCACGUGUGGGAUUUUGUAUGUACCAUAUGAAUAAGGAUCGGCUAACUCCGUGCCAGCAGCCGCGGUAAGACGGAGGAUCCGAGCGUUAUCCGGAUUUAUUGGGUUUAAAGGGAGCGUAGGUGGAUUGUUAAGUCAGUUGUGAAAGUUUGCGGCUCAACCGUAAAAUUGCAGUUGAAACUGGCAGUCUUGAGUACAGUAGAGGUGGGCGGAAUUCGUGGUGUAGCGGUGAAAUGCUUAGAUAUCACGAAGAACUCCGAUUGCGAAGGCAGUUCACUGGACUGCAACUGACACUGAGGCUCGAAAGUGUGGGUAUCAAACAGGAUUAGAUACCCGAGUAGUC